CCUACGGGUGGCAGCAGUGGGGAAUAUUGCACAAUGGACGAAAGUCUGAACCAGCCAAGUAGCGUGUAGGAUGACUGCCCUCUGGGUUGUAAGCUUCUUUUAUAGGGGGAUAAGACGUUCCACGUAUGAGCUUUUGUAUGUACCCUAUCAGUAGAAAUCGGCUAGCUCCGUUCCAUCAGCCGCGGUACGACGGAGGGUCCGAGCGUUAUCCGGAUUGAUUGGGUGUAAAGGGAACGUAGGUGGAUUGUUAAGUCAGUUGUGAAAGUCUGCGGCUCAACCGUAAAAUUGCAGCUGAUACUGGCAGUCUUGAGUAUAGUAGAGGUGGGUGGAAUUCGUGGUGUAGCGGUGAAAUGCGUAGAGAUCACGAAGAACUCCGAUGGCGAAGGCAGUUCACUGGACUGCAACUGACACUGAGGUGCGAAAGUGUGGGGAGCAAACAGGAUUAGAUACCCGUGUAGUC
rnacentral:rRNA from 1 species